rfam:Triticum aestivum genome assembly, contig: Triticum_aestivum_CS42_TGACv1_scaffold_646996_T_7AL-0.236090_1AL-0.130883
CAACUACUCCCUCCAUCCAGAAAUACUUGUCAUCAAAAUGGAUAGAAAGAGAUGUAUCUAGAACUAAAAUAAGUCUAGAUACAUUCCCUUUUAUCCAUUUUGAUGACAAGUAUUUCCAGACGGAAGGAGUACAAA